NNNNUCAAUCAGACGCUGGGCAUUCCCUCUGAGCGAGCAGAGAAGUAUUAUUUGCGUGCAUCUGAUAUCAAAUAAAACUUUUUUGGUUGCUGCGAGGUAUUGUUGAAAUGUAAACGUUGCUCGC
rnacentral:precursor_RNA from 15 species